rnacentral:miRNA from 1 species
GUAAGGAACACACAUAUACAAUACC